rnacentral:sRNA from 1 species
UUCAAAAAGAACUGCCGAAGACAGCAGGUGCCGCAAGGCAUAAGGAUGAAACCGCCUGCCGAGGAGUAAAGAAUUUCUUAUUGGAAUGAUUUAUGAAUCUCUCUGUACGCAGUAUAGAGAGAUUUUUAUUUUU